rnacentral:lncRNA from 1 species
GAAAAAUAUCACUUUACAGAUCUGACUUUUCAGAAGGCAGGCAUCAGCGCUCUGUAGAGACAAGGGCAAGACCAGGCAGUGCACAGGGAGGAAACGCUUGGGCCGCCGCCACCCCCUGUAUCCGGGCCCCCAGACACCUCUUAGAUAACGAUUUGUCCAAUAGCUGAAGUGAGCCAAAAAGUUCCCUUCCUGGGUGUACACCUCCUAGCAGUCCUCUGCUGUCUGACAAAGGAGUGUCCUAACAGUGGCGAGCAGGAGCACUUGCCACGCACAGCGCCGUUCCAGGGCUGGGGCCCAGGCGGAAGAAAGCUGGAGUUUGUGGUUGGAGCAACAUGGUUUGGGGGGAACGGUGCUGAAAACCUGGUCCCCCAAAGCUAUCGGUACUGAGAAGUGGGACCUUCUGGGAGCCUUGUUAUACAAAGCCAACCUUAAGGUAAUGCAUUAAUCUAUGAUUCAGUUUAUUGGGCAUCUGGGGAGUGGCUUUGUUAGUAACGUGGGCUGCCUCUGAG